rnacentral:rRNA from 1 species
UGGGGAAUUUUGGACAAUGGGCGAAAGCCUGAUCCAGCCAUUCCGCGUGCAGGAUGAAGGCCCUCGGGUUGUAAACUGCUUUUGUACAGAACGAAAAAGCUCUGGUUAAUACCUGGAGUCCAUGACGGUACUGUAAGAAUAAGCACCGGCUAACUACGUGCCAGCAGCCGCGGUAAUACGUAGGGUGCAAGCGUUAAUCGGAAUUACUGGGCGUAAAGCGUGCGCAGGCGGUGAUGUAAGACAGUUGUGAAAUCCCCGGGCUCAACCUGGGAACUGCAUCUGUGACUGCAUCGCUGGAGUGCGGCAGAGGGGGAUGGAAUUCCGCGUGUAGCAGUGAAAUGCGUAGAUAUGCGGAGGAACACCGAUGGCGAAGGCAAUCCCCUGGGCCUGCACUGACGCUCAUGCACGAAAGCGUGGGGAGCAAACAGGAUUAGAUACCCUGGUA